UGCCUAACACAUGCAAGUCGUACGAGAGUUUUUAACUCAAGUGGCGGACGGGUGAGUAACACGUAAGAAUUUGCCUUUAGGAGGGAGACAACAAUUGGAAACGAUUGCUAAUACCCCAUAUGCUUUCGAGUGAAAUGGAUUUUUCCGCCUAAAGAGAAGCUUGCGGCUGAUUAGCUUGUUGGUAAGGUAAUGGCUUACCAAGGCGACGAUCAGUAUCUGGUUUGAGAGGACGAUCAGACACACUGGAACUGAGACACGGUCCAGACUCCUACGGGAGGCAGCAGUGGGGAAUUUUCCCCAAUAAGGGAAAGCCUGACGGAGCAAUCUCGCGUGAGG
rnacentral:rRNA from 1 species